GAUGAAGAACGUAGCGAAAUGCGAUACGUAAUGUGAAUUGCAGAAUUCAGUGAAUCAUCGAGUCUUUGAACGCACAUUGCGCCCCCUGGUAUUCCGGGGGGCAUGCCUGUCCGAGCGUCAUUGCAGCCCUCAAGCACGGCUUGUGUGUUGGGCCUCCGUCCUCCUCCCGGGGGACGGGCCCGAAAGGCAGCGGCGGCACCGCGUCCGGUCCUCGAGCGUAUGGGGCUUCGUCACCCGCUCUUGUAGGCCCGGCCGGCGCUUGCCGACACAUCAAUCUUUUUUCCAGGUUGACCUCGGAUCAGGUAGGGAUACCCGCUGAACUUAAGCAUAUCAAUAAGCGGAGGA
rnacentral:misc_RNA from 1 species